AGGAGGAGACUGACAUACUUAUGCCUCAACAGGAGAAGUUGUUAAAAGCACACAGACACUGAGAUCACAAAUGCUUACACACACACACACACACACACACACGAUCACUGUCUCUCACACACAAACAUUCAGUACACACAGAGGAACUCAUUCACAUGCACAAACAAAGACACUCCUCUACCCAAGGGCCACCAGCCCACGUACAGACUAGAUAGAUACCCUGGGCGCUGACUGUACCCACUAUGGUGCCAACAACCCCCUGCCCAAUAUCCUGGCAUUUGGGACUGCCUCAGCCAAACCCAGUCAGCCUCCUAGGUUCAACUUGGAAAAGUUCAAGAAGGGCAUAGAGGCUUGUACCGAUGGUAAGUGUUCUAUCUCAAACAUAACUAAUAAGUCACAUGAGGCCAAAAUCUGACAACUGAGAGACAGAUUAGAGCUGUUGAAUUUGCUUUACAGCACAGUGUUGCUUUAUAUAAGCUCUGUUACAUAAAGAAUAAGUGAAGUUAAACACGGAGCUGCCCUGUAAUUUAACGUCAAAAUGUAAAACCAAAGAUGCAGAAAUGAAUGCUUCCCCUAAAUAAGUUCCCUCUAGUUUCUCUUUUUUCUUCCUCCUUUCUACAGCUGAUGUUUGCACCCUAACUGGGAAGUUCGUCUUUAAACAGGCACAUAUUCAAGUGAAAGGUUUCAGGUUUGGAUCCACAUGGGGAUAUGGUUUUGACUAAAGACAGAUUUCAGCAUGGUUUGCAUGCAUUACUGUUAGUCAGCAGAGAGAAGAAUCCAAUGUGAAUUCCACACUCCCCCUGGUGAGAAUGUAGGCCAAAGCUGUUACAGACACUAUUUAUCGAUUUGAGUAAUGAUUGUUGCCUACAUGCAGGUUGAAAAUCAACAUAUUCAGUAACCAGGUAUCCAAUAGUACAAGGGUCAUCUCAAACUCUGCUAUUCUCCCUUUCAACUACAGAAUAACAUCCACAGAACAAGUUGGACUGAGACUUGAUUCAAAUAAAAUAAUUUGUAUUUGUCACAUAGUUUUGCACAUGUUAUUGCGGGUGUAGAAAAAUGCUUGUAUUCAAUCACUAUAUGUAGGUGAUUUGAAAAUGAACAUGUUCAUGCAAUUUCCUUCUUUACUGUAUGCGUGAGGAGGUCAUCUAAAGGCCUGUAUUGUCUCCCCUGAAGGUCCUGCUGGGUUAAAGAAGGGAUCUGUUCCCCCAACCCCUGCCUCUCACCCCAUGGCCCCUAGCCUGCCCCCGCGACCACCAGAAGCCAUAAUCCAACCUGACCCAGAAGAGAACUAUGAUGAUGUUACGUACGCCUCUAGGAAGAGGGAACGCAACACCCUGCUAGAAUUCAACUCUCCGUAGAGUGAAAAAGGUAUGGGAUUGUGGGUGCGAGUAAGGAUGACAAAAGCAGAGAAUUUAUUCCUUCACAAGGUAAAAUUGGGGAAAAGGGGCUGUAACAGAACCAAAGCAAAGAAAGUAAAUGUCAAAGCCUUCUCUCCUA